GUGGAAAAGAGGCUAGAAAAUGGGUAAAACGGGGGAAGGAGCAUUACGAGCGACCAAGAAUUUCAGCAAGAAAAACAGAGGACUGUGCGUCACAGAGAGGCUGGUGCUGCAGCAACAAAGAUAGAAAUUACGACGCUGCAGCGCUGCCAGCGAAAAGGAGGAGAAUCAAUUUUUUUAUUUCUUUUCGACCCAGCCCAACUCCAACUCGUCUUGAUACAUUAAGGGACUAUAAAUACAGACUAAAAGACCUAAUUGAAGGGGAGAAAAACAACUAAAGAGACAAGGAAGAAGGUAAGUGAUUGAGAGAAGAUUGACAUCCAUUAGGAGAAGAAAUCAAGCGGCAAAAUAAGUUUUUCUUAUUCUUUUCUUCUCCAUGUUCUUUCCUUUCACAUUAAUCAUAUCAUUCAUCUUAUUUAUGUAUUAAAAUUUUAAAUCUACG
rnacentral:lncRNA from 1 species